UCGAUGAUCGAUAACCUUUAAAAAAUAUUUCUCACUCAUUCUGGAAUGCGCCUCAUUCCAACUUCUGUUAGAGACAACUUCUGUUAGAGAGAAACCUGAUGUAUAAUCUGCUACCCGCCAUUAUUAACUUUCUUUCCUUCCUGAUCGAUGAAGAAAUCUUCCUGAGUUUCAGAUUUGAAAACCCGCGAUUUCUUUGUUGGUUUAUCUUCCUUAAUCUGUUCGUCUCGCCGAUUUCGUAUUGAAGAUGGAUUUCAGAGAAAUAUCAACGCUGAAGGUGAUCAUUGGCUAGUGAAAUUGUGUUUGUUGCGAUUGGUGAGACCAAAACAAAACAAGUUUCUUCUCCUAAACCAGAAUAUCGGGAGAAGUGGAUAAAUCUUGGAUGUUUGAAUCAGAUAGGUUUGGUAAAGUAUAUAGAGAUGGGGUGAAGUUUUUCAUUCAGUAUGCAUCUACAAAUGGUUUUUGGAAAACAAACUGUGUCUGCCCAUGCGCAAAAUGUGAAAAUAGACAUCCUCGGAGUAUUGGGAUAGUGGAGCAACAUUUGUACGAGAACGGUAUGGUGAGGAGCUGGCGGUUCAUAUUGCAGUGAGCAAUCUAGCAAAGAAGAUGUACUUCCAGAUUUGACUGUUUUUAUUGAAGCUGCAUUUGAAGUUAAAGAUAAUUUAUACUAUAAUCUCGAACUUUCAAGAUUGAUGGUCGUAUUCGGACGACUCGGAAAAAUAUGACAUGAUUCACCAUUUCUUGAAAAGAUGCACAAAAUGUAUUGUCGAGCUUAAAUUUUGACAAGAAGAUGUGAAUUUUUUGUAUCCUUAGAAAUGAUCGUUGCAUAAUUCCAUAUAAUCGGUUGAAUC